CAUAACUUGUCAUGCCUAAUUUAUCAUUUAUUUCUUAUCACCUGUUUGAUGACAGAUAUUAGUUUUCUCAUUUAACUUUCAUCUUCCGUUCUCCAGAGAUUUGACUGCAAUUCAGCAGUACAGAAUGUCAUAUUGAAGUGAAUAAGACUGUAAGGAAAUGCACAAACCUGAAGGUUUGGUGCUUAGAACUGUAAGAAAAAUAUAGCAGAUUAGCCAUAAGGUUUGUUCUUUGGCAAGUACUGUAGUACUGGGUGUUCUGGGUUAAAAUGACCUUCAGGAUUUUGUGAAGGAUCUUCCAUAAGAAGACAUGGUCCUUGUUCAGUCAGGAGAAGAAUGAGUAGUUCUACAUUAUUCAGUGGAAUUCAAGCUGUAGUGAAAGACUACUGCAGGUAAGUGUGAUAUUAACUGUGCUAGAGACUUUUUAGUUAAUAUGGCCUCACUGAGUCCAACACAAC
rnacentral:lncRNA from 1 species